CUCCUUUUAACUUAUGUUCUUUACUUUUCAUGUUCUUCUUUGCUUAUGUUGUUUUUCCAUUUCCCAUACUCCAAUCCAUCUUUUCUUCUUCCUUCUAGAGUCUUUUGAAGUAAAUCUUCACAUCAAGAUAACUUACAUAUCUUAAUAUUUGUUGGAAUCAUCAUUAAACUUUUUUAACCAAAAUUAAUACAAACACCUUGUCCACU
rnacentral:lncRNA from 1 species